CGCUAUCUACUCGAAACUGUCUGCUCUCAACAGUAAACCGGCUCUGUGGGAUCUCAGCCUCCUAGGACAUAGAAAGCUUCCUCCAAAUCUCCCUGGGGGUCACGUUGGCACAAAUACCUUCAAACCGUCUGAGAACGAAAAAGACUUUUCUCACUUGGAAAGAAACGUUUACUGCAGUCUUGUUUAAGUAACAUGUUUAAGUAACGUCUUAUCUGGCCUUCUCCGCGUCCAGCCCGGAGGUCCGGGUCUUCGGUCGGCACUGGGAGAAUGAUCCCCAAGGUUCGGCUAGACCUUCGCUGCGUCAGCGGACUGCCGGGUCUGCGGGCCUAGCCCCCCUAUUGCCCUUGGCCCUGAAGCUGCAGGGACGCCCAGCCAUCACCACUGCCCCGGCGCAGUUCCGGCUCGGCUCGCCUGACCCUGCAGAGAUUUGGGGGUCGGGUGGGACCGUGGGCUGCUGGCCUUGCUCAGAAUUAGCCAGGGAACAGUACCGAGGGCAGAGGCACCGGACUGGUGCGGCGCGCCAGGACGCAUGCCACAGGGGUCAGAAGGAGUGGCGCGCCCUAGGAACCAGGUCCAGCCUCUGGACCUCGCAGCCUCGCAGGCGUGUCAGGUCGGAGGUCUCCAGUUCGGUAGCUCCAGGUUGCAACGACUGUAAGGGCUCCGGGCCUCAUUGUGCCCUGCCAGCCACUGGCGCCGCGUCUCCAAGCCAGUGCACUUAGGGCCUAGCAGUGCUGGGCUUUUUCCUAGGGCAUCUUUCUCCAUCCGCCUGCCAAGGGCCCGGGGCCCUAGCGAAGAGGGCUAGAGUGACUUGGUCGGCCUGCACAAGGGCUGCUCAGGAGAAUGCCCGUGCACCCCUUUGCUUGUGAAAGGGAAGCUACUCUGUGCCCUGCUCCAACUGUCUGAAGAGAACCAGAGCAGAGCUGGAGGUGACCAUGAGGCCUGGGCCCCAGGCAUAGCUGAGAGUAGAUGGGGGCUCCCAGACCAGGAAUGCCUGCCCCUACUGCACCACACACAAGUGAGAGCAA